rnacentral:rRNA from 1 species
GCUUACUGCAUUAUUACAUAUCAUAUAAACACAAUACAGUCUCGGAAGCUAAGUAGGGUCGGGCCUGGUUAGUACUUGUAUGGUUCGCUGCCUGGGAAUACCAGGUGCAGUAAGCU